rnacentral:rRNA from 1 species
UACGGGGGGGGCAAGCGUUGUUCGGAAUUACUGGGCGUAAAGCGUGCGUAGACGGUUAUGUAAGUCAGGUGUGAAAGCCCCGGGCUCAACCUGGGAAUUGCAUUUGAGACUGCAUAGCUAGGGUGCGGAAGAGGGAAGCGGAAUUCCCCAAGUAGAGGUGAAAUUCGUAGAUAUGGGGAGGAACACCGGUGGCGAAGGCGGCCACCUGGACGGUAACUGACGCUGAGACGCGAAAGCGUGGGGAGCAAACAGG